ACCAGGCCUAGAGGGGGGAUAUACAAGCCAGAAUCGCUUGGGCUCAGCCAAAGCCCAAAAUAGAGAAUAAGAAGGAAUCAAAGAUCCAUUCCCCUCAUCUCCACUAAUGCUCAGCCGCAGCCACGAGAGGAAGGAACAGGUCACAAUGGACCUAGUCGCGCCGGCUCCAUCACCGGCGGCGGCGUCUCCUCAAGACGACCUCCCGCGUCAUCUCACUCUCAGUCCCACCUCUCUCUCCCUAAGCACAACCGACAAAGACGGAUAUGAAGCAAACAACGAAUGCAAAAUCGUACCAAACUACAUCACAAUGACCCAUCAAUCAACGUUCAAAGAAGAAAAGUAGCCUACCGACGACGAAAGCGACGACUUCGUCGACAACAUCAAUCUCACAACUCCGGCUCUUUAUUUUCUUGUGGUGAUUCGGUUCGUAUCCUAAGCAGUAAUUAGUGUGUUCGAUGAAGAUUGGAUCGUGAUGCGGGGAUUUUCCGGUUAUUGGCGGUUCGGCGAAGAUUGAAGCAGAUGGGGGAAGAGUUUUUAGCAGAGAAAAGUGAGGGAGAAGAGUUCUGGAAGAAAGGUUCGAGCGAGAGCCCCAUUUCACUCCAUCAACUGUGUUUAUAUAGACUUUUGAUUUGAGAUUGGAUGAGAUUUUGAAUUGAUGUUGCACCACGUUUCAAUUGUAACUCUGUGUUUUAAUUUCUCAUUUGCCGUUUACACGCUGGAACGUCGUUUCAAUUGGUUACAACUUGUUGUCGUUGACGCUUUGUAGCUGCGUUCUACUCUUUGCAAGUUCAUGUUGUUUGGCUGCGUUACUUGUUGCAACUUAGAGUUUUCCGUUUUC